rnacentral:rRNA from 1 species
UCUGGUAAAGGUUGGCGAGUGGCGGACGGGUGAGUAAUGUAUAGGAAUCUGCCUUAAAGAGUGGGAUAACUUAGGGAAACUUAAGCUAAUACCACAUAAUGUCUACGGACCAAAGCUGGGGACCGCAAGGCCUGGCGCUUUAGGAUGAGCCUAUAUUGGAUUAGCUGGUUGGUGGGGUAAAGGCCUACCAAGGCGACGAUCCAUAGCUGGUUUGAGAGAACGACCAGCCACACUGGGACUGAGACACGGCCCAGACUCCUACGGGAGGCAGCAGUGGGGAAUCUUGGACAAUGGGGGAAACCCUGAUCCAGCGAUACCGCGUGUGUGAAGAAGGCCUGCGGGUUGUAAAGCACUUUUAGUGGUGAGAAAAGACGCUAGUUUAAGAGAUAGGCGUUUUGAUGUUAGCCAAAGAAAAAGCACCGGCAAACUCUGUGCCAGCAGCCGCGGUAAUACAGAGGGUGCAAGCGUUAAUCGGAAUGACUGGGCGUAAAGGGCGUGUAGGCGGUUAAAUAAGUUAGUUGUGAAAUACCAGAGCUUAACUCUGGAAUGUCAACUAAAACUGUUUGACUAGAGUGUAGCAGAGGUAAGGGGAAUUUCCGGUGUAGCGGUGAAAUGCGUAGAUAUCGGAAGGAACACCAAUGGCGAAGGCAACUUACUGGGCUAUUACUGACGCUGAGGCGCGAAAGCGUGGGUAGCGAACAGGAUUAGAUACCCUGGUAGUCCACGCUGUAAACGAUGAGUACUAGCUGUUUUGAUAUCGAUAUUAAAGUAGCGAAGCUAACGCGUUAAGUACUCCGCCUGGGGAUUACGACCGCAAGGUUAAAACUCAAAGGAAUUGACGGGGGCCCGCACAAGCGGUGGAGCAUGUGGUUUAAUUCGAUGCAACGCGAAGAACCUUACCCACUCUUGACAUCCUAGGAACUUGUCAGAAAUGAUUAGGUGCCCGCAAGGGAACCUAGAGACAGGUGCCGCAUGGCUGUCGUCAGCUCGUGUUGUGAAAUGUUGGGUUAAGUCCCCUAACGAGCGCAACCCUUGUUCUUAGUUGCUAACAAAUAAUGUUGAGGACUCUAAGAAGACCGCCGGUGAUAAACUGGAGGAAGGUGGGGACGACGUCAAGUCAUCAUGGCCUUUAUGAGUGGGGCUACACACGUGCUACAAUGGGCAUUACAGAGGGUCGCCAACCCGUGAGGGGGAGCAAAUCCUUUAAAGAUGCUCGUAGUCCGGAUUGCAGUCUGCAACUCGACUGCGUGAAGUUGGAAUCGCUAGUAAUCGCGAAUCAGAAUGUCGCGGUGAAUACGUUCUCGGGCCUUGUACACACCGCCCGUCACACCAUGGGAGUGGGUUGUACCAGAAGCAGGUAGACUAACCUUUAUUGGAGGUCGCCUACCACGGUAUGAUUCAUGACUG